UACAGAGGGGGCAAGCGCUGUUCGGAAUUACUGGGCGUAAAGGGCGCGUAGGCGGCCUGCUAAGUCGAACGUGAAAUCCCCGAGCUCAACUCGGGAACUGCGUCCGAUACUGACAGGCUUGAAUCCGGGAGAGGGAUGCGGAAUUCCAGGUGUAGCGGUGAAAUGCGUAGAUAUCUGGAGGAACACCGGUGGCGAAGGCGGCAUCCUGGACCGGCAUUGACGCUGAGGCGCGAAAGCUAGGGGAGCAAACGGG
rnacentral:rRNA from 1 species